UACGUAGGGUGCAGGCGUUAAUCGGAAUUACUGGGCGUAAAGCGUGCGCAGGCGGUCUGUUAAGAGAGGUGUGAAAUCCCCGGGCUUAACCUGGGAACUGCGCUUCUAACUGGCAGGCUGGAGUGUGGCAGAGGGGGGUGGAAUUCCACGUGUAGCAGUGAAAUGUGUAGAGAUGUGGAGGAACACCGAUGGCGAAGGCAGCCCCCUGGGCUAACACUGACGCUCAUGCACGAAAGCGUGGGAAGCAAACAGG
rnacentral:rRNA from 1 species